rnacentral:rRNA from 1 species
GACGAACGCUGGCGGCGUGCUUAACACAUGCAAGUCGAGCGGUAAGGCCCUUUCGGGGGUACACGAGCGGCGAACGGGUGAGUAACACGUGGGUGACCUGCCCUCAGCUCUGGGAUAAGCCUGGGAAACCGGGUCUAAUACCGGAUAUGACUCCAUGACGCAUGUUGUGGGGUGGAAAGCCUUGUGCGGCUGAGGAUGGGCCCGCGGCCUAUCAGCUUGUUGGUGGGGUGAUGGCCUACCAAGGCGACGACGGGUAGCCGGCCUGAGAGGGCGACCGGCCACACUGGGACUGAGACACGGCCCAGACUCCUACGGGAGGCAGCAGUGGGGAAUCUUGCGCAAGUGGGCGAAAGCCUGACGCAGCGACGCCGCGUGAGGA